AGUGAACGCUGGCGGUAGGCCUAACACAUGCAAGUCGAACGGCAGCACAGUAAGAGCUUGCUCUUACGGGUGGGGAGUGGCGGACGGGUGAGGAAUACAUCGGAAUCUACUUUUUCGUGGGGGAUAACGUAGGGAAACUUACGCUAAUACCGCAUACGACCUACGGGUGAAAGCAGGGGAUCUUCGGACCUUGCGCGAUUGAAUGAGCCGAUGUCGGAUUAGCUAGUUGGCGGGGUAAAGGCCCACCAAGGCGACGAUCCGUAGCUGGUCUGAGAGGAUGAGCAGCCACACUGGAACUGAGACACGGUCCAGACUCCUACGGGAGGCAGCAGUGGGGAAUAUUGGACAAUGGGCGCAAGCCUGAUCCAGCCAUACCGCGUGGGUGAAGAAGGCCUUCGGGUUGUAAAGCCCUUUUGUUGGGAAAGAAAAGCAGCAGGUUAAUACCCCGCUGUUCUGACGGUACCCAAAGAAUAAGCACCGGCUAACUUCGUG
rnacentral:rRNA from 1 species